GACAGACUCCUACGGGAGGCAGCAGUGGGGAAUAUUGCACAAUGGGGGAAACCCUGAUGCAGCGACGCCGCGUGGGUGAAGAAGUACUUCGGUACGUAAAGCCCUACCAGCAGGGAAGAAAAUGACGGUACCUGAUUAAGAAGCCCCGGCUAACUACGUGCCAGCAGCAGCGGUAAUACGUAGGUGGCAAGCGUUAUCCGGAUUUACUGGGUGUAAAGGGCGUGUAGGCGGGGGCGCAAGUCAGAUGUGAAAACCACGGGCUCAAACGGGGGCCUGCAUUUGAAACUGUGUUUCUUGAGUACUGGUGAGGCAGACGGGAUUCCUAGUGUAGCGGUGAAAUGCGUAGAUAUUAGGAGGGACACCAGUGGCGAAGGCGGGCUGCUGGACAGCAACUGACGCUGAGGCGCGAAAGCGUGGGG
rnacentral:rRNA from 1 species